UAAUAACGAUAAUAAAAUUAAAAAUAUACUGUAAAUAGUACCGUUACAUCAUGUUUGUAACAAGAGCAAAGGAAGGUUCUGGAGGACAAAGCCGAGCCAUUGGUGGAGCUGUGAUGGACGGAUAGUGCAUAAGUGGAUAGUAAUAGUGGUGGUUUAGGGGCGUCCAAAGGGGCUGACGACGAUCAUUCUGAGGAGGGGAGGACGUCGUUGGAGACUUUGAGGACGGACAUUUCUGUGCUACCAACACGAAACAUCCUGUAUUGUUGAAGAUGAGGUGGGCUUUGAGCUACUGUAAGGGGAUGUUUUGGAUCAUGCGGUCGUUACUCAUGGAACCAGGGUCCAGGUAUUUUUGAGGGUUGCGGUUCAGACAAUCUCUUGAUUCCGACAGGGAGCUUAGAGCUCCUGGUUCGGUCAACCCUUGGACUCACUGAGCCAUGACACACAUUUCCUGCUUGGAUUGUUUCCAUGAAGCUCACCCGUGAACUUGCCCGGUCACCAGUGUAAGCGGAAAACCUUCUCUCCGCUGCUCCAGUUUAACGGCCACGUUCAACAAGCCUCAAGCGAACAAGUUCAGGGGGAUAAACACUUUAUUGCUUUAACAUUUUGACAUUUUCUCAGCAGUGUACGGCAGCAGCACGUGUUACAAGUCGGAGCUCUUCUCCAGCACGCUACACCAUCACGAGGAAGAUCCGCAGGCGACAGCUAUGCAGGGGCAGAGCCACCAGACUCUGGGCGGGAGGGAGAACAAAACAAAUGAACGCAUUGUCUGUUUGGCGUAAAACGGCCG
ensembl:lncRNA